GAGAUCAUGACCUGAGCAGAAGCUGGAUGCUUAACCAACUGGGCCACCCAGGCGCCCCAUAAAAGCAUUUUUAAGAGCGCACACCUCUUCACCGGGACAAAGAGACCAUGUGAGGAGCUCACAGCAGAUGAGAGCAGUCCAUCAAAUUCUAGAAGCUGGAAAACAGAUGGUGAGUGGGGGCUGACUUAAGACACCAGAAAGUUGGAACCUGACUGUUCAGGGGAGGCAUCAGGACACAAGACCCCCAACUGGAGACCCUCAGAAAGGCUCAGGAGUGAGAGACCAGGCGUCUCCAAAGACCGAGGCAUGGGGGAGGACUGAAGACAGGUGCGCAGUUAUCCGUCCGGCAGACUCCUAAGUCUCCUCCCCAGCCGGCACAGGCGGGACAGGACCCCCUGCCCCGCAGCCGGCGGCUCACCCACCACGGAGCCCGGAAGACGCUGAUCUGAAGUAAUGUUCGCAGGGGGCUCAGCGCAGAGCCUGGACCGUAGCAGGUCCUCCGGAGUUGUUGCUCUCCUUACAUUCAGCUGCCCUCCUUCAGUCUUGUUCUCUUAUUUUCUUCUCUUGGUCACACAGAGCCGUCCGAUGUCUUUAAUCUGAGGCCUGGGAGUGGCAGCCUGGCCACACCACACUACCCAUCCACACACUCCCCUCACACAUCACGCUCUUUGAUGCGGCCCAAAUGGCUCAUUGCCUCCUCUUUUUGAGCAGGUGAGCCUCGCUUUUUAGCUAGCUAGAAGGCUAUAAGCAUUGCCUCCCAGUUCUAAGCAUUUCUCAGUCUUCUUUUCAAUUAGGUAUGGCCAUUUGACUGUAAGCGUGGAAGUGUCGUGAGGAAAUCAGAAAUUAUCUUUCAAAGAGGAGAGCUCUUCCUUCUGUCUUGGGCUGCAGAUGUGAUGGCCUGUGCUCCAGCAGCCAUGCUGGACAGUGAGGAUAAAGGCCACACAUAGUGAAAGCAGAACAGGGAGAUCAAAGGAGCCAUUUUCACAGAGUUGUCAUACUAGCCUGCAGUUGCCCAUCUUUGUACUUUUUUACUAAUGUUUAUUUUCUUUAUAUUUGGGAGGGGUGGAGGGGGAGAGAGAAUCCCAAACAGGCUCUGUGUGUGCGAUCAUCAGCUGAACUGAAAUCAAGAGUUGGAUGCUUAACUGACUGAGCCCCCAGUUGCUCCUGGACAUCUUUUACACGACAGAGAAAUAAACCUCUUUCUUGUUUUGGCUACUAUUAGUUCGGAUUUUCUGUUGUAUGCAAUGGAUCCUAAUUCCAUCUGGUUAAAUCUGAGUUAGGGCAACACCUUCCUUGUCUUCUUUCCUAUUCAGAGAUCAGAAUCAGCACAGACUUUGCUCAUUAUGAAGUCCACAGAGCCAGGGACAAAAUCUGGCCCGCAGAUGUGUUUCCUAGCUCAAAGUUUUUAAAAUUAGGAGUUUCAGGUAUACAACACAUUGAUCUGACAAUUCCAUAAAUGACUCAUGCUCACCGUGAUGAGGGACUGAGGCCCUGAGCGGACUGGCCCGGAGUCGCAGAGCUGGAAAUGGUGGAGUCAAGACUCCAGACUGUCUGCAUUCCACGCUUGCUCUGACAGAGGAAGACAAUAGAGCCAAGGAGGAAGGCAUAGUUAAUGACCCUUGUCAUAUGCUAUCGGAUUGAUGAUGCUUGUACCCCUGCUGCCCCAGGAGCAAACCAUCUAGAGGAUGGAUUUUUUCUGUAUAUAACUCAGUACCUGGCGCGGAGCCAGCCUCGGGAACUUCGUGCCAAACGAAUGAGGUGACCCACCCUCAGUCACACAGAGCCAGAUGCAGAGCCGGAUGCCUACCCAGGGCUCUUCUCCCGGACCUGGCUGCUAUCCAACCUAUCUGUGUUCCCUUAGAUACUGACAGAGGUCAAGAGCACAGACUUUGAGUCUAGCAUAUUCACACCCAAAUUCCAGCUUCAUCCCUCACCAUUCGAGCCUUGAUUUCUCCACCAGCAAAUGGGGCUAAUCAUGGAAC